GAUGAACGCUGGCGGCGUGCCUAAUACAUGCAAGUCGAGCGAACAGAUGAGGAUCUUGCUCCUCUGACGUUAGCGGCGGACGGGUGAGUAACACGUGGAUAACCUACCUAUAAGACUGGGAUAACUUCGGGAAACCGGAGCUAAUACCGGAUAAUAUAUUGAACCGCAUGGUUCAAUAGUGAAAGACGGUUUUGCUGUCACUUAUAGAUGGAUCCGCGCCGCAUUAGCUAGUUGGUAAGGUAACGGCUUACCAAGGCAACGAUGCGUAGCCGACCUAAGAGGGUGAUCGGCCACACUGGAACUGAGACACGGUCCAGACUCCUACGGGAGGCAGCAGGAGGGAAUCUUCCGAAAUGGGCGAAAGCCUGACGGAGCAACGCCGCGUGAGUGAUGAAGGUCUUCGGAUCGUAAAACUCUGUUAUUAGGGAAGAACAAAUGUGUAAGUAACUAUGCACGUCUUGACGGUACCUAAUCAGAAAGCCACGGCUAACUACGUG
rnacentral:rRNA from 1 species